rnacentral:rRNA from 1 species
AUUGAACGCUGGCGGCAUGCCUUACACAUGCAAGUCGAACGGUAACGGGCCUUCGGGUGCCGACGAGUGGCGAACGGGUGAGUAAUGUAUCGGAACGUACCUUUCAGUGGGGGAUAACGUAGCGAAAGUUACGCUAAUACCGCAUAUUCUGUGAGCAGGAAAGCAGGGGAUCGCAAGACCUUGCGCUGAUUGAGCGGCCGAUAUUAGAUUCACUAUUUGGUGAGGUAAAGGAUCACCAAGGCGACGAUCUGUAGCGGGUCUGAGAGGAUGAUCCGCCACACUGGAACUGAGACACGGUCCAGACUCCUACGGGAGGCAGCAGUGGGGAAUUUUGGACAAUGGGGGCAACCCUGAUCCAGCCAUGCCGCGUGAGUGAAGAAGGCCUUCGGGUUGUAAAGCUCCUUCGGCCGGGAAGAAAUCGCACAGGCUAAUACCUUGUGUAGAUGACGGUACCGGAAUAAGAAGCACCGGCUAACUACGUGCCAGCAGCCGCCGUAACAC